UUCAACACAUGCGGGUGUCGAGUACAAAUGACGGAAAUGCCAUUCUAACCAGAAACCAAUUUUCCUUAAGUUUGACUUCUGCCGAAAAUUCGGCAGAGUCCCCUUUGUAAAUUGAUAAUUUUCCAAAAUUUCCACCUGUCAAACAAGCAUAUAUAUAUAUAUAUAAUCCAACUGUUCAAUAUGCAUUACAAUGGACUUCAUGCAACCGAAAACACA
rnacentral:lncRNA from 1 species